UCGUCCACAGUAGGACAAUUUCUCUUAAGAUGCUUAGAAUUUUUUAGGUUUGUCUUUGGAAAGAAAAGGCCUGGGAGUUUAAAGACAUACAAGACAGCGGUCCUGAAAGAGAGAGUGAAGAGAGACAGAGGGGGUACCUGCUAUAGCCAGUCACCUUGCCUGAUGUGAUCAUUAACCUUUUUGACAAAUACAGAAAAAAGGGCAGUUCACUCAUGAGACUCGAGUCUUUGCUUUGAACUGUGGUACAGGAGCUUUGGCAGCUGAGACACAGUAGGGGAAUUUCUGUAUCUAUUGGACCUCACUGAAGAAACCUGCUGCGCAUCGACCUGACCAAAAUGAGAUUACAGAACCUGUUGUACAUAUUUUUUCUUGUAGUGAUGAGUCUUUUGUUAAUCAGUGGACAACGACCAGAACAUUUCAAUCUAAGACGCAAAUAUCACAGGCACCAUUGUCCACACAGAAGAUGUAUGCCUCUUCAUGCAAGAGUUCCCUUCCCUUAAGAGUAACUGUAGUUUUCUUCAUGGUACACACAGCUGUGGGAUUUGGAUAUUGGCACGUUCCAGGCUUUCUAAAUUCACUUUGCUCUCCCUGUUUCAUAAACAAUACAUUAAAUACUUUCACUAACUCCAAGGCAACUUGUGGAAAUAGACCAUGAAAGCUUACUGUUGGAUUCCACAACUAAUUAACAGCUACAAACUGUCCAGCAAAAAGGAAAAUGGAAAAACUGAAGCCAAAAGAUGGUGACUGGUCAUGGUGGCAGCUUUUUGUGUCCUAAAAAACCUUUUUCCUGAAAGUUCCUCUUCGGAUGCAGUCCACCAAAGAAGGAAUUUCAAGACUCAAGGCCACCACCUGUUGGAACACAACUGUUGUGAACCUCAGAAUUUUAAGAGAAAAAAGAAAAAAAGAGAAGAGAGUUUGGCACUUGGCCAUGCCAAAAAGAAAGUAUUUUUCUGUGCUUCAAAGGAUUUUAACAGUAGGAUAAGUGUUUCUGGUUUGCUUGUGAAGGUAUUAUUUAUGAUAUGUAACUAUUCAGAAUAAUACAUACUGGCAAUCAUGUUAUUUUCCUAUUACAAAGAUUUUAAGCAUGCAGGUUUAGGUUACUACAGAUGCACUGACAGUCUCUUUGCCUGUCUCUUUAAGCUCCCUAUGUACAGUAGACAUAAAUUGUUGAUACUCUGGAUGAUUUCACGAGAUAACACCUUAAUACAUUAUUGAAAACAAUCUAGAAUGGAUACAGACACAUUAAGUACAUAUUACACUUCAUUAAUUCACAGCAACUAAAGAUAAAAUAUUUUAAAAUAA